ensembl:lncRNA
AUGCAUACAAGCAUGUGGCAGUAUUUUGAGUUGCUAUUAUUAUUAUUAUUUUUAUUUUAUUUUUUUUAAAGAGAGUAGAAAAUUCUUCUACAGCAACUCCACCACACAGAAAGUCAGCUGGAGAUGUGGGGAGUCCUGAUAUGGAUCGAGGUCUGCUUCUUCUUUCCAGUGACAGUGCUGUUCUUCUGCUGUGCAUGUGGUGUGGGGCGAAAAUAUCAGGUUCCUGUCAUCUAUUACACAAACCUCCUCAUCUCCAUUCUGAUCCAUCGCAGCAUGACGUUCCUUUGGUGGAGGACACUGUAUGACAACAUUGCAUCUUUCUUUUACAAUUUUGCUGUGACGACCAGUCUUUACUUCAGGUUGUGCAUUGCUCUGGAAAGGUAUUGUUUCAUCGCCUGCCCACUGUUGGACUGCCUCAGACAAACUGAGGGUUCUGUACUGGUCUGUGUUCUGGUCUGGGUCCUUU